AUAGUUGUAUAUAGUUAACAAUUACAAAAUACAAAAGUGUAGUAUCUGUUCUUUUCAGUUUAAUAUCUGAUACGUCCUCGAUGAGAGGACUUUAUAUUGAACGGGUUUUUGGGCCUGGGAGUUGGACCCGGAGCUUGCUCCCUCUGCUCUGCCUGGCUGGAGGGCCGGGCCCAGA
rfam:Calypte anna contig69567, whole genome shotgun sequence.